UCAAAUUGCCAUUACCUCUUUGAGUUGUUUUCACACGUGAGAAAUUAUCACUCUUGACAAAGUCUUCUUUCCCGAUAUUGUUUCUCUCCCUUCUCCAAUUUUCUCCAUUAUUGAAUUCAUCAUGAUUAGUGUUUAAUAACACUAUUUGCUUAUAAUAAUUCCCGACGAAUCUAAUUUUUAAUAAUCUUCGAACUUGUGGAGUAUGGAAGAUCCUGGAGACAACGAAGCCUACGAGGAGGAGCUCUUGACUACAAGGAGCUCUUGACUACAAGGAAGAGGACGAGAAAGCCCCAGAUUCUGCAACUAAGUUAAAGGCGAAGCAGUGAAGGAAGGCUACGUGGGGAUAAACAGUUCAGGAUUCAGCCGGAGCUUCUCCGAGCUAUUGUUGACUCUGGAUUUGAACAUCCAUCCGAAGGCAAGUUCAUUUUACUCUGGCCCUUUGUUUCUUCUUGACUUGUUUUGUUACCCUUGCACACAACGAGCUUUAUGAUUUGGUGGGCACUCUACUUUUGGCCAUUGGUUGUUCAAAUUGAAUUGUCUUAGUGAGUUGUAACGAAGAUUUUCUGGCCAGAUUAAGAUAUAUUUUUUUCUGUUAUAA